AGGGGGGCGGGGUGGAGGAAAGAAAUAGGGGAACCCCUGUUUCGGUGAAGAAAAAGAAGAAGAUAGCCGAGAGGGAACCAGAGAAAGAAAUAAAAAAGAGAGAGAGGGGGGGGAGAGAAUAUUUUGUGAUAUUUUGGGAAUAAUGGGAGGUGAAGGCUUUCAUUUGAAGAUGGGAGGUCGUCCGGAAGCCAUGCUCGGCUAAACAUCUAGUCUAGGGCUGGAUNN
rnacentral:lncRNA from 1 species